rnacentral:rRNA from 1 species
UAGAAGCAGCCAUCAUUUAAAGAAAGCGUAAUAGCUCACUGGUCGAGUCGGCCUGCGCGGAAGAUGUAACGGGGCUAAACCAUGCACCGAAGCUGCGGCAGCGACGCUUAUGCGUUGUUGGGUAGGGGAGCGUUCUGUAAGCCUGUGAAGGUGUGUCGUGAGGCAUGCUGGAGGUAUCAGAAGUGCGAAUGCUGACAUAAGUAACGAUAAAGCGGGUGAAAAGCCCGCUCGCCGGAAGACCAAGGGUUCCUGUCCAACGUUAAUCGGGGCAGGGUGAGUCGACCCCUAAGGCGAGGCCGAAAGGCGUAGUCGAUGGGAAACGGGUUAAUAUUCCCGUACUUGGUGUUACUGCGAAGGGGGGACGGAGAAGGCUAUGUUGGCCGGGCGACGGUUGUCCCGGUUUAAGCGUGUAGGUGUGUGUUCCAGGUAAAUCCGGUUCACUUUAACACUGAGGCGUGAUGACGAGGCACUACGGUGCUGAAGUAACAAAUGCCCUGCUUCCAGGAAAAGCCUCUAAGCAUCAGGUAACAUCAAAUCGUACCCCAAACCGACACAGGUGGUCAGGUAGAGAAUACCAAGGCGCUUGAGAGAACUCGGGUGAAGGAACUAGGCAAAAUGGUGCCGUAACUUCGGGAGAAGGCACGCUGACACGUAGGUGAAGUGAUUUACUCACGGAGCUGAAGUCAGUCGAAGAUACCAGCUGGCUGCAACUGUUUAUUAAAAACACAGCACUGUGCAAACACGAAAGUGGACGUAUACGGUGUGACGCCUGCCCGGUGCCGGAAGGUUAAUUGAUGGGGUCAGCGCAAGCGAAGCUCCUGAUCGAAGCCCCGGUAAACGGCGGCCGUAACUAUAACGGUCCUAAGGUAGCGAAAUUCCUUGUCGGGUAAGUUCCGACCUGCACGAAUGGCGUAAUGAUGGCCAGGCUGUCUCCACCCGAGACUCAGUGAAAUUGAACUCGCUGUGAAGAUGCAGUGUACCCGCGGCAAGACGGAAAGACCCCGUGAACCUUUACUAUAGCUUGACACUGAACAUUGAGCCUUGAUGUGUAGGAUAGGUGGGAGGCUUUGAAGUGUGGACGCCAGUCUGCAUGGAGCCGACCUUGAAAUACCACCCUUUAAUGUUUGAUGUUCUAACGUGGACCCGUUACCCGGGUUGCGGACAGUGUCUGGUGGGUAGUUUGACUGGGGCGGUCUCCUCCUAAAGAGUAACGGAGGAGCACGAAGGUUGGCUAAUCCUGGUCGGACAUCAGGAGGUUAGUGCAAUGGCAUAAGCCAGCUUGACUGCGAGCGUGACGGCGCGAGCAGGUGCGAAAGCAGGUCAUAGUGAUCCGGUGGUUCUGAAUGGAAGGGCCAUCGCUCAACGGAUAAAAGGUACUCCGGGGAUAACAGGCUGAUACCGCCCAAGAGUUCAUAUCGACGGCGGUGUUUGGCACCUCGAUGUCGGCUCAUCACAUCCUGGGGCUGAAGUAGGUCCCAAGGGUAUGGCUGUUCGCCAUUUAAAGUGGUACGCGAGCUGGGUUUAGAACGUCGUGAGACAGUUCGGUCCCUAUCUGCCGUGGGCGCUGGAGAACUGAGGGGGGCUGCUCCUAGUACGAGAGGACCGGAGUGGACGCAUCACUGGUGUUCGGGUUGUCAUGCCAAUGGCACUGCCCGGUAGCUAAAUGCGGAAGAGAUAAGUGCUGAAAGCAUCUAAGCACGAAACUUGCCCCGAGAUGAGUUCUCCCUGAGACUUUAGGUCUCCUGAAGGAACGUUGAAGACGACGACGUUGAUAGGCCGGGUGUGUAAGCGCAGCGAUGCGUUGAGCUAACCGGUACUAAUGAACCGUGAGGCUUAACCUUACAACGCCG